GGGUACAGCUCAGUGGCAGAGUGUAUGCUUAGCAUGCAUGAGGUCAUGGGUUCAAUCCCCAGUACCUCCA
rnacentral:tRNA from 1 species